rnacentral:rRNA from 1 species
CUGCCAGGGAUAACCUGGAGGAAGGUGGGGAUGACGUCAAAUCAUCAUGCCCCUUAUGCUUAGGGCUACACACGUGCUACAAUGGGUAGUACAGAGGGUUGCAAAGCCGUAAGGUGGAGCUAAUCCCUUAAAGCUACUCUCAGUUCGGAUUGUAGGCUGAAACUCGCCUACAUGAAGCUGGAGUUACUAGUAAUCGCAGAUCAGA